AUCAGUACCGCAGGUCUUGAAAAAGACCUUGCUGGGUAAAGCACAUAUGCCUGUCUCAGGUAAUGUGUAUAACCACUUGUUGAAAUACUUUACAUCUGCUGCGGCUGCACUCUCCGCUUAAACUCGGAGGGGUAAGGCUGCCGGUAGCAUUUAAUAAAAACUAGUUGAUGAAAUGUCAUGCCGUCUGAUACUGUUUAGUAUUUGAGAAAUCGAAUAACUAUUA
rnacentral:misc_RNA from 1 species